CAGAACGGCUCCUCAGGGCUCGUGCAGGCCCCGGGCAGGAGAGAACGCGGCGCCGACUCCCACCUGAGCACCACUGGGCAGAAGGGGCCGCGCGUGCGGUUGCACUUCCGGGUCACAGCUCCGGCGCAGGCGCACUCCUCAUGCGAAGCCGCCAUGGCGCCGCGUGACGCAUAUGCACGGUUCCUUGUCCAGUGUCCGAUGCCACAGGGCCGCUUCCAGUCCCACUGCUCCAGGCUUUGACCCAGGGACGCAGCCACUGUUGGCCCAGAUUAUCUUGAGAACAGACCAGCAACAGAAGCUCCGUAGUGACUGGUGCCCUCCACCUGCAAGAUGAUGUCUUCACCAGCAAGAAAGCCAUCACCAGGUGUGGCCUCUCAAACCUGGACCACCGUCACAAGCCAGGGUCUGUAUUAUCAGGAAGUUGGAAUCAGGAGCUGGAGUUGGAAAUUGAACCUGGGUACUCCAAUAUCUAAAGACCUAAGGAUAUAUGUUACUGAUUGAUACUGCAAAUGCAGAUGGCGAUUUUGUUCUCUGAAAACUGAUGCCUGGCUUGUAAUGAGCAAUGGAACAGUAAUCUACUGCAUGGAGGAAAAGUAGAAAAAAUAACUAAAAAGCCAGAGAGAUGCAUUUUAUAUUGAAGAACUUGGGACAUUCAAUUUUUUUAAUUCUCCAAAAACCGCUUGUCUGUACUUUUUUCAGAGUCUCUUCAGGUAAAAUUGAUAAAAUCUGGGUCUUUUGACAUUCUAAAAUGUAGAAAUUAAAGAAUUAGAAAUUUUAAUGAAAUUUGGGCACCUUAGACACCAUCAACCUUGUAAGGGUUAACAAAUAGUGUCAUGUUAUUUGAAAAUUUUCCCUGAAAAUAAACAUUUCAUUCUAAAUU